GGUGUAGAGAAUCCUAUCGAAGAUAGGGCACAUUAGCAUACUGAGUAUUUUAUGCUGAAGGAAAUUGAGAAAACUGCGGAAGCAGAAAGUUGCCUCUGACCUCUCUUAAAGACCCUCAUGUGACAAGUGUCCUGCUCUAUACACAGAGGGAAGGAACUACACAAACAGGCCAAGAAGAAUCUGGAGAAACAGUCUUUUCUAAGCCCUCCCCAGUUUACUGACACUAGGUCAUACCUCCUUUUUGUUUAAUUAUACCUUUACAGGACUAUCUAUUCUUCAUCAAACCUAAGCAUAAAAAUAUACAGUUUUCCCUGGGUCUUCAUUUCUGAAAGUUGUCAUGUCAAGGAAAACUUAUAUUAAGCUUAUAUUAAAUAAAUUUGUCACACUUUUAUCUUGUUAAUCUAUAUUUUGUUGUAGGAGUCUCAGCCAUGAACCUAAUGGUGGGCUUGAAAAGUGGAGUACGGCUUCUGCAUUUCUAUACAACAUUAAGUUUCAAAGGACAGAUGAAAGCAGAAGAGCCAUAGAAGAAGGCUCUAGGUGCUCAGUUACUGCUACAUCUUUACCAUCCUGCACGCCUCUUUUACUUAUGGCUAGAUUCCCGCUAACAAAUGUUGGAUAAGAAACACUGUCUGAAUCACAAGAACAGAGAGGUUAGGAGAAAUAGUUUUGCUCACUCCUUCCAUGUGGUGAAACAUCUACUAAUGCAAUACUCCAGUCCUCUCUCUAUCCUUACUCACAUGAAAAUGCAAUGGUUCGAUUUGUAAAGGUAAAUAAACAGAUGUGUUAUUUUGCAUGUA
ensembl:lncRNA LINC01710 long intergenic non-protein coding RNA 1710